UACGGAGGGUGCGAGCGUUGUCCGGAAUCAUUGGGCGUAAAGGGCGCGUAGGUGGCCCAGUAAGCGUGCGGUGAAAGCUCGGGGCUCAACCCCGAGUCGGCCGUGCGAACUACUGGGCUGGAGCACUGUAGAGGCAGGCGGAAUUCCGGGUGUAGCGGUGGAAUGCGUAGAGAUCCGGAAGAACACCGGUGGCGAAGGCGGCCUGCUGGGCAGUUGCUGACACUGAGGCGCGACAGCGUGGGGGAGCAAACAGG
rnacentral:rRNA from 1 species